AAUAGCCGUGUUUCGAGUUCCUCCGGAACACCCGGGAUUUUUCGUAUUUAGCCACGCCGGUCACGUGAUAUGAGCAAAAUGUUCCACAGGGGUACUUCCGGUUAAUUUUGUUUACACUGGUAACAAAAUUGUUUUUGACAAAAUAUAGAUUUUGCGGCACAAACUGUCGCAAAUCAGAUAAAGGAUAGCAAGGGAUAUAUAUUUACUUGGGAAGAUGUCAAAGUUUACCUUUUCCCACACCCGGGAAAAGCGUUCACGCAGAGGAAACGAUGGCGUCAUUUGUGUAGAAAACCACGACCAGCCGAAAUUGAGUGCGAUUAUUACAUUCCGUGAAAGCUGAACCAACAAAGAAACAUCAUUGUUCUAGCCAGUUUCCUUAUAUUAACUUUUAGGAAAACCAAGAGGUUUGUACUGACUCUUAAAAAUAUAAUAUAGACUGUGCAAAAUCUUGUCAAUCUUAAGAAUAGGUAUACUUGUACCCUCAUCCACAUCUGAGCAGUGUAUGUAUUUUACAACGGUGUUCAUGUGACAUUAAAUAGAGAAUUUCAAUUAUGAACUUAUGGUUCAGGCUCAUAAAAAUUACGAAGCAAUUUCACAAGGGAGUGAGAGGGGGGGGGGUAUAUAUAUCUGCCAAUUAAAUAAAAUAUGAGAACACCAGAUAAUAUAUCCCUACGGAUCUAUACUAGAAUUUGCAUGAUCAUUUAUUCAAGCUCCAUACCGAUGGUUCAUUCACUGCAAAAUUUUGAAUUAUAUCAAAGAACAUUGAUCUUUUCUCCAACUUUUAAUACAAAUCAAGCACAGGCAAUAUGCAUCGCUUGGGGUACUCUUUAAUAGUAAAUUCGAACACAAGUGAUGCUUAUUGCCUGUGCAAUCAAGGUACUUUGCAUGUACAUGUACAUCAGAUAUGUACAUUUCCACUCAAACCACUUAUAUACAAGAAUGGAACCAGCUGAACAUGAGCCAGGUUAUAUAUUAUGUAUUUGCUCUCCUACCCCUUUGAUUCAGUACUGUGUAAGGAAAUAUACUAUUGAGUAUAUAUAUAUUUUAAAAAGAAUAACAAAGAACAACAAUUUUCAUUCAUAUUUCAUUCAACAUAUAUAUACACAGGUUGAUAACAAUGGCUGAUCUGCAUAUAAUGACUGCUAGUUAUUGGCUGGUAUGCAGUGAAAGGGAGCUAAAAAGGAGUAAAAAGUUCAUAUCAGCCAGGUAGUGUGGCUUAAAUAAACCAGUGUUAAGGAAUAUCCAGUAAUGGCAUGACAUCAUGAGAGUUUGGCAUACCGACAUUCAGAUGAUUAAUGAUGAAACUGAAGACCUCAGGUGAAAGGCAUGGAAAAUGAUCCUGUUCCCAUAUACCUGAAAAAGAGGAGGGAUGCCACAAUAUUGAUAAUAGACUUUUGUCAAUUUGAGAAGCAAAGAUGUAAAAAAACAAAAAUAAUAAUGCUGAAAUUAUAAUUCAUGUAUUUGUUAAAAAUACUGUUCACUGUACAUACAUGUAUAUUUUUUUUUAAUUUAUUUGGAAAUACAUGAAGUAAUUCAUAUUAAAACUGUGAAUG